rnacentral:rRNA from 1 species
ACUUUGAUUCUGGCUCGGAUUGAACGCUGGCGGCGUGCCUAACACAUGCAAGUCGAACGCGAAAGUUUCUUCGGAAAUGAGUAGAGUGGCGCACGGGUGAGUAACGCGUGGAUUAUCUACCUACUGGUACGGGACAACAGUUGGAAACGACUGCUAAUACCGUAUACGCUGGUAACGGGAAAGGGGGCCUCUUCUUGAAAGCUCUCGCCAGUAGAUGAGUCCGCGUUUCAUUAGCUAGACGGUGGGGUAACGGCCUACCGUGGCAACGAUGAAUAGCAGGCCUGAGAGGGUGGCCUGCCACACUGGGACUGGAACACGGCCCAGACUCCUACGGGAGGCAGCAGUGGGGAAUAUUGCGCAAUGGACGAAAGUCUGACGCAGCGACGCCGCGUGGAGGAUGAAGGUUUUCGGAUCGUAAACUCCUGUCAGGAGGGAAGAAACCUAUCAUGAAUAAUACUCAUGGUAAUUGACGGUACCUCUAGAGGAAGCACCGGCUAAUUCAGUGCCAGCAGCCGCGGUA